rnacentral:misc_RNA from 1 species
ACUUGUCGAAAAAUCCACUUUCAUUGGCUUGUUCACGAUGAACCUGGGCUCCUUGUUUCUCAUCAUCUUCCUCAGGUGGCUCAGAUCCAUUAUACUGAGCAUCAAAUUUAGCACGAAGUGCCAGCUUUUUAAGUCUCCGCUCCUCUGCUGCAAGAUCAUCUUCCAUCUUGACAGGAUGACUGCCAGAUUCAUCUUUAUGAUGGCUCUCAUAUCUAUCACCUGUUUCCAAAUCUUCAAAGUCACCAUAGACAUCAUCUUCUUCAGUGUUUGCCUUGGAGGGUUGAUUUCUUUGGGCAGCUUUUGACCAGUCACCAGUGACAAAACGAUCACGAAUACUUUCAUAUAUCUCUUCUUCUUUCCAAUUUUUAAGAUCCGCAUAAUUUGUAAAUUUGGAGCAGUCCUCAGUGUUGAUGUCUGUACCAUCCAAUCCCUCUUUCAAUUUCUUAUUGCCUUCCCCUUUUAGCUUAAAGAAGUCAUCUCCAUCACUUUCCUCAUCAUCAAUACUCUCCCGCUUUUCAUUUAUGGCAGUUGUCGAUGCAGAAGUCCCAUACACAAGUUGCAUGAGAUUAAUAUUUUUUCUUGAGACAGUCCUUUCAACCAAUGACUCUUUCCACUUUGAUACAUUGCCCAGGCCAUCUUCAUCUGUUCCAUUAUCCUCUCCAUCUUCCUCCGAAACAUCUGAAUCAGAAUAUGAUUGAUU